rnacentral:rRNA from 1 species
UACGUAGGGUGCAAGCGUUAAUCGGAAUUACUGGGCGUAAAGCGUGCGCAGGCGGUCUUGCAAGACAGAUGUGAAAUCCCCGGGCUUAACCUGGGAACUGCAUUUGUGACUGCAAGGCUUGAGUAUGGCAGAGGGGGGUGGAAUUCCGCGUGUAGCAGUGAAAUGCGUAGAGAUGCGGAGGAACACCGAUGGCGAAGGCAGCCCCCUGGGCCAAUACUGACGCUCAGGCACGAAAGCGUGGGGAGCAAACAGG